rnacentral:rRNA from 1 species
GACGAACGCUGGCGGCGUGCUUAACACAUGCAAGUCGAACGAUGAAGCCUAGCUUGCUAGGUGGAUUCGUGGCGCACGGGUGAGUAAUACGUGAGUGAACUACCUUUAACUCUGGGAUAAGACCGGGAAACAGGGUCUCAUACCGGAUACGGCAACUCUCCGCGCGUGGUGUUGGUUGGAAGGGUUCUGUGGUGGUUAUAGAUGGGCUCGCGGCCUAUCAGCUUGUUGGUGUGGUAACGGCUCACCAAGGCGACGACGGGUAGCCGGCCUGAGAGGGUGACCGGCCACACUGGGACUGAGACACGGCCCAGACUCCAACGGGAGGCAGCAGUGGGGAAUAUUGCACAAUGGGCGCAAGCCUGAUGCAGCGACGCCGCGUGCGGGAUGACGGCCUUCGGGUUGUAAACCGCUGUUAGCAGUGAAGAAGAGAGAGUGACGGUACCUGGAGAGAAAGCGCCGGCUAACUACGUG